AUAAUGUGCAAAUCAAGUCAUUUGCUAUUAACGUAUGGAUAAGUUAAAAGAUUCAUAAAGAAGUGCUAAAUUAAAUGUUAUUUGCUACAAUAGUCGCACACAAAUGGGCAAGGAUCAGCAUUUAUUGGAGGCAGCGCGCAAUGGCGACAUCGUAACCGUUGGCAAGCUGCUCGAGCUGACAACCAAGCGACAUGGUCCAUUGUCCAGUUUUCGGCGCAGUGUGAAUAUUAAUUGCCAGGAUGUCAAUGGUUACACGUGUCUGCAUCAUGCCUGCCUCAACGGACACAGCAGCAUUGUGCGCCUGAUCCUCGCCCACAAUGUCCAGGUGGAUGUGCCGGAUAUACGCGGAUCGACGCCGCUCUUCUUGGCCUCGUGGGCGGGUCAUCAGGAUAUUGUGAAAAUGCUGCUCUUUAACACUCCCGUUGCGGCGAAUCCCAAUGCGCAGACCAUUGAGAAUGAGACACCGCUGCAUUCGGGCGCCCAGCACGGACAUAAUAGCGUCGUAGCCAUACUCUUAUCGUAUGGCGCUGAUCCCACCAUACGCAACAAUAGCUUCCAGACAGCUUUGGAUCUGGCAGCACAAUUUGGCCGGUUGCAGGUGGUGCAAACGCUUCUACGUGUCGCACCCGAUCUGAUAGCACCGUAUCGGCGGUUUGUUGAGAACGAGAGCUCGUACGAGGUGCUGGAUUACUCCAAUCGAUAUACGGCAACGCCCACAAAGCUGAUCUUCACGCACACAUGCCUACACUUGGCUAGUCGCAAUGGCCACAAGAAAGUGGUUGAAACCCUGCUGGCAGCCGGCGUUGACGUCAACAUUCUCACCCACGCGGGCAGCGCACUGCACGAGGCAGCGUUGUGUGGCAAGAAAUCUGUGGUUGUUGCACUGCUCAAGGCGGGCAUCGAUGUACAUGCCACAGAUGGCAACGGACGCACCGCACUCGAAAUACUCAACGAUUACCCGCCCCACGUCACCUACGAGAUUGUCGGCGUCAUAAACGAAUUUACAAAUUUGGCCGAGUCGCAGCUGUUGCGCUCAAACCAAACGCAGCUGGUUAACCACAGCAACAACCACAUCAACAACCACAGCAACAACAGCAGCAACAAUAAUCUGGUUUUGGAGAACAACGGUCAAUCGCUGCCCCGGCGUCUGUUCGAAAAGAACGCACAGCGGCACAAGACCAGCAAGCACAAUGAUCCAGCCAGACUGAGGAAAUCAUGCUCCCCAUGCCGGAAUGCAUAAGCCACCACCACCACACACUCAAUACCAUCCAAUAUCACGCACUUGCACCACCCGCAUUCAUACACAACACAACUUGCACCCUGCACGACUCCACACUCACAUGCAGCACUCAUCGAUCGGAAAUGGUUGGUUGCAAGCAAGACCAAACCAAUGGACUUUCGCACUCUUUAAGCUCACUGGAUA
rnacentral:misc_RNA from 1 species